rnacentral:rRNA from 1 species
GACUACUGGGGUAUCUAAUCCCGUUUGCUCCCCUGGCUUUCGCGCCUCAGCGUCAGUUGCUGCCCAGCAAGUCGCCUUCGCCACCGGUGUUCUUCCCAAUAUCUACGCAUUUCACCGCUACACUGGGAAUUCCACUUGCCUCUACAGCACUCCAGUCUGAUAGUUUCAACCGCUGGUAAGGGUUAAGCCCUAACAUUUAACAGCUGACUUAUCAAACAGCCUGCGCGCCCUUUACGCCCAGUAAUUCCGGACAACGCUCGUCCCCUACGUAUUACCGCGGCUGCUGGCACGUAGUUAGCCGGGACUUAUUCGUAUGGUACCGUCACGUCCUUCUUCCCAUACAAAAGAAGUUUACAACCCGAAGGCCGUCUUCCUUCACGCGGCGUCGCUGGGUCAGGGUUUCCCCCAUUGCCCAAUAUUCCCCACUGCAGCCCCCCGUAGG